UAUAGUUUUAUCAAAUUCUCCCGAACAGCAACGUACUGAUCUUGUCAACUGAGACUUGUAAAUUUGAACUAUUUGAAUAAAAGGCCAUCUUCUGCUUCUGCUUCUGCUUCUGCCAGGUAAUGGCCACAAUCAACGGACUGAUUAUUCUGCCAUGGUUUGGUGCGCAUAUUCGACCACCCCCCUCCCCCCAAAAUUUUAGAUAUUUAAUUCAGCUUUGUCAUCGAGGCUUUAAAGGCCUCGACUGACGGUGCUGAUACGACCCCAGGAGGAAGAGCGUUCCAAUCCCGGAUGGUUCUUGGGAAGAAUGAGUGUUUCCGGUAAUCACAGGAUGCUGAUGGUACUUGGAAGGAUUUAUCAUGCAUGUUUCGUGUCAUUCUUUUCGGUGGUAUUAGACGACCUUCCUUUGACAUGGCCACUUUGUUGUUUUCUAUUUUGUAUAGCAUUGUGAGUCUCGCUUCUUUCCUUCUUUGUUCUAG
rnacentral:lncRNA from 1 species